rnacentral:lncRNA from 1 species
CUUUGGGAUGUUGUAUUGCAGUAAAUGAGAGACCUUCCACUGACUGCAGCUGGAACAGGAUCAAGCCCUUUAAACAUGCAGUGCAAUGCCUUUCUAAAGCCUAUGAACUUAAGCCCAGUAUUUAUCAAGUCUCUGUCAUAUAAUAUGUUGAAAUCAGGCAACAAUUGAAUUUUCACAUGGCUUUGGCAAGAAACCAGGAGAGACUCGGGGACUUCAGCUGACUUUCUCAUGGAGUGAAACUGGAAGAAAUAUUUUUACAACACCCCGUAGAGCGAAACUUGGAUAAUCUCUGUAUUCACAUGAUUAUAAUAGUCACAUGCAAGUCUAUGCAUUGGGAUCCCUGCAAUCAAGCUAACGAGCUCACCGGAGGUUUGUGGUGUUACCAGGGCACUUUCGGUCGGAGUUGCUCUGCGCUCCCCUCCUGCAGCUCCUCCAGGCACCAGAAGCUCCAGAGAAGGUGUGUCGACCCGUGGUUUGAAGGUACGAAGAAGUACUUCAUUUUAGGGGUGCCUGCUGGUGUGCCUCACUUGGCUCCAUUCACAGACGCCUGUCAAACAUUUCAGUGAUGAUUGCACAAGGAUCAGAGGGAAUGAAGAAGGCAGAAUAAAAAUCAGUUCUGUGGGUUUUUUGACA